rnacentral:lncRNA from 1 species
GACAAUUGUAAAACCAUGGCCGCAGUCUGUGCACAAGAGCAAGGAGGCGGUAUGCGUCCCAUAGCAUUCUUUUCCAAAGUAGUUCGAGCUCCGGUACAGGGUAUGCCGGCGUGUCUCAGAGCAUUGAUAGCAUGUGCAAUGGCUGUUGAAACUGCUACUACUAUCACACUAGGGCAUCCUACAAUACUUCAUGCCAGUCACCAGGUCACUCAGCUGAUAACAAAUCUCACCACACAACACAUGACAGCCCAGCGCUUCAGUGGUUAUGAGAUUCUUUUUUUUAAUACCCAGAAUCUGUCUUUUGGAUUAAACAAGGUUUAGAGAAAGAUCAAAAUGAUCUGUUCUCUAAAGAGGGGAGAAUAGGCAUACUUGAAGAAUAGGCAUACUUGAAGCAAGCUGAUUUAUUUUCAUCAGUCAGGCACAUAGCAAGCACCAUUCAAUUCUUCAUGAAUUCAUUUUAUAUUAGGAAUCUCAGGCAGCAUGUACAGUCUUUUGUAAGAUCGUGUGAACGCUGCUCUUUUUACACACUUACAGAUUGAUUUUAUUCAUGUAUCCAAAAUUGGUAAGAAACAGCAAUACUUACUGGUCAUAGUUAAUCAGUUUAGUGGAUGGCAUGAUGCCUUUGUGACAUCUAGGGAGGAUGCUAGUGAAGAUUAUUGUUACUGAAAUUAUUCCCCGGUAUUGCUGCCCUCUGCAGAUUGGCUCUGAUAAUGGCCCGGUUUUUGCAAGUGGGGUUGCCCAGGAACUUGCUAAAUUCUUGCAAGUUACCUGGCAGUUUCAUAUACCCUAUCAUCCACAGAAUACAGGGGUAGUUGAAAGGAUGAAUAGGACUAUUAAGGAAAAGCCCAGAAUUUACCCAGGAACAUGGGUAAAUUGGACAAGAUAUCUACCAGCUAUUUUAGCUGAGAUAAGAAUGAAUCCCCACAAGGUGAAUUGUUGAUAAAACCGAAUGGUAUGUAUGACAAUGUUUCUUCGCAGUUUUCCCUUACCUUCACAGGAACCUACUCAUUCAUACCAGCCCGGUGACAAGGUGUAUAUCCGUCAGCUGAACAGGACCAAGAAAGGAGGAUACCCUUUUGGACCACCUGCUACUGUGAUUGCUGUAACCAGAACCGCUGUCCUCACAGAUUCACAUGACAUCUGGAUUCACGCAUCCCGAGUGAAGCUGUGUCCAAAGAGGGGAACCAAGGAAGACAACACCACUCCUCGCUCGGAAACAGAAGAAUUUCUCCUCAGCGAAGCAUCAUGGUUUUUACACCAUAUCGUAGAUUGAGAGGAUCAUACGUACCUGAGACCAAGAUUAUGUUGUGUGCUAUGCUUUCUGGAGUUGUUAUACUCCCUCUGAUAUUGUUCCUUGAAUGCCAUUAUGAGUACAAGUCAAUGGCAAGUUCUGGAAAAAGACUCUGACAUGAUGAACAAUUCUUCAAUACCCCCAGCCCAAUUAGGCCUUAGCCCCUCAUCUAGCAUUCGUCACACACGCCCCCUCAAGAACCUUUCUCCACCACCUUUCUAUCAGCAUGCAAUAUGCAAUCAUUCAUUCACUGAACGCAUUUGGAUGAAUUGGACAAAUAGUAACCCUUAUAAGUACCAGUUACCCAUAUGAAAUGUGUCUACAGCUAAUGAAACCGAUGCAUUAUGUUUGUUUGAAGGUUCACAGAAAAUUGUUAGAUCUUAUAACGCAGAAAUGUGCACAGUUAAGGUUGCAUAUCAAUGUAAACAGACAGGCC